GCGCCAGUGGGAGAGCGUGGAAGGAUUUGGCAACGGAUUUCUAAUCCGUCAGUCGGGGGUUCGAAUCCCUCCGGGCGUG
rnacentral:tRNA from 1 species